CCAAUGCGACUCCGUCAGACCCCACCCCACCCCGCUCGGGCUUACCUUGUGGAGCAGAUAGAGCCACGGGACAGGAUUCGCUCCCCACCCCAUUCUCCUUCAUACACACGGGCACGGCGGCGGCGACUGUGCUCCGGCAAUAUGUCCACCGACGGCCUCGAGCUCGACGGGGGUGUCUCCGUGUGAAUGGUUCUGUCUUCCCAGUGGAGUUCCAGGAUUCCAUCAGUGCAGCAGGUUUAGACAUCGACAAGACAGACGAAGAAAAGGAAAACGGAGAUGGAGACAGAUACGAGGUGUGCUCUGAAACUACGAGUGGCUAGAGUAGACACGGAGGGUUAGGAUUGGGAAAGCACCUGAUGAGAGGGAGAUGAAAGCUGACAGGAAGAUAGCUCUUGAAUAAUCUGUGCACGCUUACGCAGAGAAGGGGGAUGGGCAUAUGUUGUCAAUCCCAAAAUUGGCACAAGUUUUGAUUCAUUGGAUGAGGCUUAUGAGUUCUACAACCACUACUCAUGGAAAACUGGGUUUGGGUUUUGCACGAUCUGCCGAGUGCAGGGCCACAAGGGUGCAACUUGCCCCCAAAGAGGUGAUGUGCCGAAGGCUCCAAGGAAAUUGCCGAAAUGCACAAACUGUGGGGUGGUCGGCCAUCGUUGCAAUGCUUGAGGCGCUAAAAAGAGCGGUCCAUUCGAACCAAACUUCCUCUAGACUAAGGAUUGAUGUGCUGAUCCUUUGUAAUGUUUCUUCCCAUAAAAUCCCAAAUGCUGCAAACUUUGUCUUUCUUGUAGUGGAACAACUUGCCUGAACUGGAUUGUGAUGUUCCAGCCGGUUUACUUGGCCGGUGCUAGUGUAUACUGCAUAGUUUUCUUAAUCCAUGUACUGUGCCCACUAGCAAAAAAUGUAGUUGCUGCCGCUGAAACAAAAAAUGGUUGUUUUUCUAUC